rnacentral:rRNA from 1 species
UGGGGAAUAUUGCACAAUGGGCGCAAGCCUGAUGCAGCAACGCCGCGUGAGGGAAGACGGUCUUCGGAUUGUAAACCUUUGUCUUUGGUGAAGAAAAAAUGACGGUAGCCAAGGAGGAAGCCACGGCUAACUACGUGCCAGCAGCCGCGGUAAUACGUAGGUGGCAAGCGUUGUCCGGAAUUACUGGGUGUAAAGGGAGCGCAGGCGGGACAGCAAGUUGGAUGUGAAAUACCGAGGCUUAACCACGGAGCUGCAUCCAAAACUGUUGUUCUUGAGUGAAGUAGAGGUAGGCGGAAUUCCGAGUGUAGCGGUGAAAUGCGUAGAUAUUCGGAGGAACACCAGUGGCGAAGGCGGCCUACUGGGCUUUAACUGACGCUGAGGCUCGAAAGUGUGGGGAGCAAACAGG